rnacentral:rRNA from 1 species
CGUAGGGCAAGCGUUGUCCGGAUUUAUUGGGCGUAAAGAGCUCGUAGGCGGCUCAGUAAGUCAGCUGUUAAAGCUCCAGGCUCAACCUGGAGAGGCCAGUUGAUACUGCUGUGGCUAGAGUCCGGUAGGGGAGUGCGGAAUUCCUGGUGUAGCGGUGGAAUGCGCAGAUAUCAGGAGGAACACCGAUGGCGAAGGCAGCACUCUGGGGCCGGUACUGACGCUGAGGAGCGAAAGCGUGGGUAGCAAACAGGAUU